rnacentral:rRNA from 1 species
UACGUAGGGUGCAAGCGUUAAUCGGAAUUACUGGGCGUAAAGCGUGCGUAGACGGUCAUGUAAGUCGGGUGUGAAAGCCCCGGGCUCAACCUGGGAAUUGCAUUCGAGACUGCAUGGCUAGGGUGCGGAAGAGGGAAGCGGAAUUUCCGGUGUAGCGGUGAAAUGCGUAGAUAUCGGAAGGAACACCAGUGGCGAAAGCACUCUACUGGGCCAUUACUGACACUGAGAGACGAAAGCUAGAGGAGCAAAUGGG